AGUGGGAUAGCUGGGUCAAAUGGUGGUUCCAUUCCCAGUUUUCUGAGGAAUCUACAUACUUCUUUCUAGAUUGGUUGCACCAAUUUGCAGUCCCACCAGCAAU
rnacentral:pre_miRNA from 1 species